GCAAGGGCCGUGACGUAAGAGGAAGCCCGUCUCCGGGCCGGAAGCUCGGCCGAGCGGGGCGGGGGGCGCUUCCGAUCAGGCUUGUCAGAGCCGCUACCCGCCAGCGCCCGUCGCCUUUAGCAAGGUCCCGCCAGCUCCCACGACACCGGCCGGGGCUUUUAAAGUGACACAGCCUAUGUCCUGAGAGUACAUAUAAGCGAUUGUGUGCGGCCUAGAGACUUAAACUAGCAUCCCGGCGCGCAUCCUCCCUCCAAAGAAACGGACGUUGCCUUUGUGCGCACCUGCCUUCCCCCAGGGUGACCGUGAUGCUGGGCUGGUUUGCUGUUCUCUGACUCAUCUUUCUGGUUUUACUACACAGUAGUGCACACCCCUCCUCACUGCCGAGGAAAAGCAAUCAAGAUGUUUCAAGAACAGGCUGCAGAACAACACUCUGGGGCUGAAGUAAAGGAGACAGUGGGGUUGAGCAGCGGGUGUCCCAGGAACGGAAACCAUAGCCGUGAAGGGCAAAUGGCAUGAGGAUCUACGGGGGUGCACAGAGACCCCCCCACCCCCUCCCUGAAAGGUUUCGGCUUAUGCCUUCCUCCUCUAUCCCACAGCAUUGGAGAGGUGGUUCUGGUUUGCUUUCAAAGGCUUUAAACUCUGCUACGGUGUUAGUGACUCCUACAUGCUGGAUUACCGGCAGACUGCUGAUGCACAAGGACGUG